rnacentral:lncRNA from 1 species
UUUCCUACUAUCGCAUUUACAGCUUUCAGAUACAUAUCUAUCUAUCUAUCUAUCUAUUGUUACUUGUGCCCACUUGGACCUAGUGGGGAGAUCGGCAGAGUCGGCGGCCGAGCCCACUGGGAACUAUGGAAGAUAGUUCUCACCCCACUCUAUUUCUAGUGGUAGGUUCAGGGCUGCAGAAAGAGGACCGCGGCAAGGGCAUCGCGCCCGACCAGUAAGACCGUGGUAGUAUAGUAGCUUUCCUUUUUGCAUUAGCCACCUAUGUAUUGAGAGAGAGAGAUCUAUUAUAGGUGAGGAUUUGGAGAGCUAUGUAUUUUGGACGAGAAAUGUAUCCAUUUAAAGAAAAUGAUGUAAUGAGAAUGUUGAAACUAUUGUAAUAGUUAGUAAAGUACUCUCUUUAUUUCACUAGUUUUAUCUUGUGGAUCGCUUGCUCUUUGUAUUGUUGGCACUGUUUGUGCCCUCUUGAAUGUGUAUGCUUAGAAUUUAAUUUCCUGGGUAGAUUCUUGUACACAUUCCUGUUUUGAGCCUUGGGCGGACAGGGGAGGUGCUGUCCGUUCGGCCGCCCGCCGCCGCGGCCAAACCGUGCCAAAUUAGUAGUGGAUUCGGGGCGGUGCGUGACAGCUGUUUUGGUAUCAGAGCCAUAAGAGCAAGUAAAGAGAGUCUAGGAUGACCUAGGAGACCCUAGGUUGGUAAGCCCUAAGGUUAUAGGCGUGUGAGCGGAACGUGAACCUAUAGCGAUGGCGGAAGUUAAUUUGAUUGGGUCGAAGUUGGUAAUAUGUCUCUAGUUGUGAUUAGAGACGGAUUCAAGUUGUAUAAGUUCUUGUCUUGAGGUGAUUGUGUCGGCGGCCGAGCCCACUGGGAACUAUGGAAGAUAGUUCUCACCCUACUCUAUUUCCAGUGGUAGGUUCAGGGCUGCAGAGAGAGGACCGCGGCAAGGGCAUCGCGCCCGACCAGUGAGACCGUGGUAGUAUAGUAGCUUUCCUUUUUGC